AGCGAACGCUGGCGGCAGGCUUAACACAUGCAAGUCGAACGCUCGUAGCAAUACGGGAGUGGCAGACGGGAGAGUAACACGUGGGAACGUGCCCUUCAGUUCGGAACAACCCAGGGAAACUUGGGCUAAUACCGGAUACGUCCGCAAGGAGAAAGAUUUAUCGCUGAAGGAUCGGCCCGCGCCUGAUUAGCUAGUUGGUGAGGUAAUGGCUCACCAAGGCGACGAUCAGUAGCUGGUCUGAGAGGAUGAUCAGCCUCACUGGGACUGAGACACGGCCCAGACUCCUACGGGAGGCAGCAGUGGGGAAUCUUGGACAAUGGGCGCAAGCCUGAUCCAGCCAUGCCGCGUGGGUGAUGAAGGCCCUAGGGUUGUAAAGCCCUUUCGGCGGGGAAGAUAAUGACGGUACCCGCAGAAGAAGCCCCGGCUAACUUCGUGCCAGCAGCCGCGGUAAAAC
rnacentral:rRNA from 1 species